AAACACUUACAGCAGGGAACGGGGACUUGUGCAGAGACUGCGACGACCAACAGAGAGACUGCGAGAAGAAACAUCCUUCUGACUACUGACGAAUUGGUGACUGAGAUACGACAGGAACUGGUCCAUUGAAGAGGCAAAGAAAGUCAGAUGCAGCAUGUGCCGUCAGUUUUCCCAUGGCGUGGAUACAGGGAUACUGACCAUGCAAGAAGUGAAAGGAGAGCUGCUCGCAAUCGCCGUACAAUGGUGGAAGGGGAUGAAACAGAAGAGGUCUUCAUGGAAUGUGAUGAUACUGACGUUUCGAAUGCUUCAAUCUUUUGUACGGUAGAGACAACGGAUAAUGACACAGCAGUAUCAGAUCGAAUUAAUGAACUUGAUGUCCAACAGAGUGAGGAUGUAAGCCUCAUGGAUCAAUCGGAACUCCUUGAAUGUCUCGCGCACUCUAUGUCGAGGAAUUCCGAUUGCCUCAUCGAUGCUUCAUGUCAAGCCCUUCCCACACCCAUGAUGUCUAUUGAAACCGAGAGGCCCAUGGGCCACAUCGCUUACCUGCGUCACCUUGGCUCACAUUUAAAGAUUUUCCCUAUAUAUUCACAUGUAAAACUUUGAUCCCUAUUGUGGCCCCAUCCUACUCCCGGGGGCCAUGAUUUUUUUUUUCAAAAUUGAAUCUGGACUAUGUCAGGAAGCUUUCAUGUGAAUAUAAACUUUUCUGGCCCAGUGAUUUUUCAGAUGAAUUUUGUUUAAUGAUUUUCCCAAUAUAUUUGUAUGUAAAAGUUUGAUCCCCUAUUGACGCCUCAUCUUAUCCCCGGGGGCCAUGAAUUUGAUAAACUUGAAUCUGCACUAUGUCAGGAAGCUUUCAUGUAAAUUUCAACUUUCCUGGCCCAGUAGUUUUUUAGAAGAUUUUAAAAGAUUUUCCCUAUAUGUUUGUAUGCAAAACUUUGAUCCUCUCUUGUGGUCCCAUCCUACCCCCGGUGGCCAUGAUUUUAACAACCUUAAAUCUGCACCAUGUCAGAAAGCUUUCAUAUAAAUCUCAGCUUUUCUGGCUCAGUGGUUCUUGAAAAGAAGAUUUUUAAAGAUUGUCCCUAUAUAUUUGUAUGUAAAACUUUGAUCCCCUAUUGUCGCCCCAUCCAACCCCGGGGGCCAUGAUUUGAACAAACUUGAAUCUGCACUAUGUCAGAAAGCUUUCAUGUAAAUUUAAGCUUUUCUGGCCCAGUGGUUCUUGAGAAGAUUUUUAAAUGACCCCACCCUAUUUUUGCAUUUUUUGUGAUUAUCUUCCCUUUGAAAGGAACAUGGACCUUCCAUUUGAACAAACUUGAACCCAUUCAGUCAUAAUUAUUUUCUUUAACUAAUCUUGGUGUAGAGAUCUCCUUCAUUCAUAUGACAGAAUGGUAUUGCUUAUAGGAGUUAUGAGAUUGAUCACUGUUCGUUAUCUUCACCUUUUAUGAUGGAGACGUUGAAUGGUUCACAUCAUGGAGAAAAAGCUACUGUGAGAGACUUUAUAUCUCCGACCCCAAAGUAUGGACAGCAUCGCAGACGAUUGGUUUAUACUGAAUGACAAAUGUUUUUCAGUCAUUCAUGAAUUUGUUUUACAACAUAUAUUGAUUGAUUUUUAUGAUUAUAUAAUUGAAUUAUCA